rnacentral:rRNA from 1 species
ACGGGAAGAGCCCAAACCAACAAGCUUGCUUGUUGGGGUUGUAGGACACUCUAUACGGAGUUACAAAGGACGACAUUAGACGAAUCAUCUGGAAAGAUGAAUCAAAGAAGGUAAUAAUCCUGUAGUCGAAAAUGUUGUCUCUCUUGAGUGGAUCCUGAGUACGACGGAGCACGUGAAAUUCCGUCGGAAUCUGGGAGGACCAUCUCCUAAGGCUAAAUACUCUCUAGUGACCGAUAGUGAACCAGUACCGUGAGGGAAAGGUGAAAAGCACCCCGGAAGGGGAGUGAAAUAGAACCUGAAACCGUGUGCUUACAAGUAGUCAGAGCCCGUUAAUGGGUGAUGGCGUGCCUUUUGUAGAAUGAACCGGCGAGUUACGAUUUGAUGCAAGGUUAAGCAGUAAAUGUGGAGCCGUAGCGAAAGCGAGUCUGAAUAGGGCGUUUAGUAUUUGGUCGUAGACCCGAAACCAGGUGAUCUACCCUUGGUCAGGUUGAAGUUCAGGUAACACUGAAUGGAGGACCGAACCGACUUACGUUGAAAAGUGAGCGGAUGAACUGAGGGUAGCGGAGAAAUUCCAAUCGAACCUGGAGAUAGCUGGUUCUCUCCGAAAUAGCUUUAGGGCUAGCCUCAAGUGAUGAUUAUUGGAGGUAGAGCACUGUUUGGACGAGGGGCCCCUCUCGGGUUACCGAAUUCAGACAAACUCCGAAUGCCAAUUAAUUUAACUUGGGA